GAUGAACGCUGGCGGCGUGCCUAAUACAUGCAAGUCGAGCGAAUGGAUUAAGAGCUUGCUCUUAUGAAGUUAGCGGCGGACGGGUGAGUAACACGUGGGUAACCUGCCCAUAAGACUGGGAUAACUCCGGGAAACCGGGGCUAAUACCGGAUAUUAUUUUGAACUGCAUGGUUCAAAAUUGAAAGGCGGCUUCGGCUGUCACUUAUGGAUGGACCCGCGUCGCAUUAGCUAGUUGGUGAGGUAACGGCUCACCAAGGCAACGAUGAGUAGCCGGCCUGAGAGGGUGAUCGGCCAAACUGGGACUGCGACACGGCCCAGACUCCUACGGGAGGCAGCAGUAGGGAAUCUUCCGCAAUGGACGAAAGUCUGACGGAGCAACGCCGCGUGAGUGAUGAAGGCUUUCGGGUCGUAAAACUCUGUUGUUAGGGAAGAACAAGUGCUAGUUGAAUAAGCUGGCACCUUGACGGUACCUAACCAGAAAGCCACGGCUAACUACGUGCCAGCAGCCGCGGUAA
rnacentral:rRNA from 1 species